CUGGCGGCAUGCCUUACACAUGCAAGUCGAACGGCAGCAUGGAAGAGCUUGCUCUUCUGAUGGCGAGUGGCGAACGGGUGAGUAAAGCAUCGGAACGUACCGUGUAGUGGGGGAUAACGUAGCGAAAGUUACGCUAAUACCGCAUACGCACUGAGGUGGAAAGCAGGGGAUCGCAAGACCUUGCGCUAUACGAGCGGCCGAUGUCAGAUUAGCUAGUUGGUAGGGUAAAGGCCUACCAAGGCGACGAUCUGUAGCGGGUCUGAGAGGAUGAUCCGCCACACUGGGACUGAGACACGGCCCAGACUCCUACGGGAGGCAGCAGUGGGGAAUUUUGGACAAUGGGGGCAACCCUGAUCCAGCCAUGCCGCGUGAGUGAAGAAGGCCUUCGGGUUGUAAAGCUCUUUCGGCUGGGAAGAAAUCGCACAGGCUAAUACUCUGUGUGGAUGACGGUACCAGCACAAGAAGCACCGGCUAACUACGUG
rnacentral:rRNA from 1 species